rnacentral:rRNA from 1 species
GACGAACGCUGGCGGCGUGCUUAACACAUGCAAGUCGAACGGAAAGGCCCUGCAUUUGUGGGGUGCUCGAGUGGCGAACGGGUGAGUAACACGUGAGUAACCUGCCCUUGACUUUGGGAUAACUUCAGGAAACUGGGGCUAAUACCGGAUAGGAGCUCCUGCUGCAUGGGGUGGGUUGGAAAGUUUCGGCGGUUGGGGCUGGACUCGCGGCUUAUCAGCUUGUUGGUGGGGUAUUGGCUUACCAAAGCUUUGACGCGAAGCCGGGCUGAGAGGUGUACCGGGCCCAGCGCAAAUAGAAUGAGGCGCAGCCCAGAAUGGGAGGCAGUAGGGGGAACACGAGCACAAAACGCGGCAGACGGAGGUAGCAAAGCCCCGUGCGGAAGGACGGCAUAUGGGUUGAAAUCAGAUUUCGCGUGUAACGAAGCGUGAGUGACGGUAAUGGAUAAAGAAGCACCGGCUAACUACGUG